AAUACAAUGGCCGAAGUUAAAAGCGUUAGAUUGUAAAUCUAAAAAUGAGGGAGUCCUCUUGUAUUA
rnacentral:tRNA from 1 species